AGGGAGAGGUUUCCACAUUUUUAUAAGAAAUGUUUCGUUCCUCUCUCAAAUCAAUGUGGGAUCUCGCAUCCACCCCUUGGGAGCCCGGUGCUCUCGUUGGCACAUCUACCAAUAUCUGACUCUAAUACUAUUCGUAACCGCCAAAGUUCACCACUAAAAAACUAAAAGAUAUUAAGCUUACCCUUUUGCGCAUGUACUCGAUUUCAGCAAAGAGGAGUUCAUUCUGGAAGAGAGAGAGCAAAAGGAAGUGUUUUUAUUUUAAGAGAAGAAACUU